AUUUAGUUAAGGUGUGUAAGGAUCAGGUGGAGCAGGGAGCUGAGUCAGAGCAGCAGGGCUUUCAGGGGAAGUGAGAGGCUCUCUUAUGAUCUUCUAUAAGGCUCUGACCAGAUUUCUCUCCAUUCCAGCAAGUAAUGGGUUGGAGAGUGAAGAGGAUGAAAGACCCACCGCGCAAAGUUUGUUCAGACGGAAAAAGAGAGAACAGAGAAGCAAAACCUGCAGCAAAAGAGAAGAACAAGGAGAGACCUUCUGCUUCCCAGCUGGGUGACAUCUAUAAAACCAGAAUCCAAAAAACAAGAGGGAAAGAAGUCCCUGCCCUGCAAGUAGGAAAAACUUCAGUUCUGAACCAAGCUUUCAGCCUCAGUGCAAAAUGGACACAGGGAAGCAACCAUAUAAAUGCUUGGAGUGUGGUUUAGUGGGAGUGACUACCUCAAUUUACAUCAAAUGACUCAUGCUGGAGAUAAACCUUUUAAAUGCUUGGAGUGUGGAAAGAGCUAAAGCAGGAGUGGAAAUCUUAAUUGGCAUCAAAGAACCCACACUGUGUAGAAACCAUAUACGUGCUCAGAGAGUGGAAAGAGCUUCAGCCAGAACGGGAAUCCUACUAAACCUCAAAGUACCCACAGUGGAAAUGGUGAAGAAAUGGGGAUUUCUGUUUUAGAAUUUCACUUGGAACCAUUUGCAACUUGAAGGAUUUCAAUUAAAACAUUAGCCAUUUAAUUGUC